UCCCGGCUAGCUCAGUUGGUAGAGCGUCAGACUCUUAACUUAUAAGAGUUUCUGCAGGCUUCUGCAGCAUUAUCUGAAUGUCGUGGGUUCGAGCCCCACGUUGGGAG
rnacentral:tRNA from 1 species